rnacentral:rRNA from 1 species
GACAGUUUUCGGAUUGUAAACCUCUGUUGUAAGGGAAGAAUACUAUAGAUAGGAAAUGAUCUGUAAUUGACGGUACCUUACCAGAAAGUCACGGCUAACUAUGUGCCAGCAGCCGCGGUAAUACAUAGGUGGCGAGCGUUAUCCGGAUUUAUUGGGCGUAAAGAGUGCACAGGUGGUUUAUCAAGUCAGUUGUUAAAGCCCGGGGCUCAACCCCGGUGUGCAAUUGAAACUGAUAGACUAGAAUAUCGGUGGGGGUAGUAGAAUUCCAUGUGUAGCGGUGGAAUGCAUAAAUAUAUGGAGGAAUACCAGUGGCGAAGGCGGCUACCUGAACGAUUAUUGACACUUAAGCACGAAAGCGUGGGGAGCAAAUAGGAUUAGAUACCCUAGUAGUCCACGCCGUAAACGAUCUAUACUAGACGUCGGAGUUUUCCGGUGUCACAGCUAACGCAUUAAGUAUAGCGCCUGGGUAGUAUGCACGCAAGUGUGAAACUCAAAGGAAUUGACGGGGACCAGCACA